rnacentral:rRNA from 1 species
UACGUAGGGGGCAAGCGUUGUCCGGAUUUACUGGGCGUAAAGAGCGCGUAGGCGGAAGCUUAAGUGUGGCCUGAAAGCCCCCCGGCUCAACCGGGGAGGGUGGCUGCAAACUGGGCUUCUUGAGGGCGGCAGAGGAGAGUGGAAUUCCCGGUGUAGUGGUGAUAUGCGUAGAUAUCGGGAGGAACACCUGUGGCGAAGGCGGCUUUCUGGGCCUUACCUGACGCUGAGACGCGAAAGCGUGGGGAGCGAACCGG